AUGCACGCUAGCUACAGGCUUAACACAUGCCAGUCGAGGGGAAACGGCAUUGAGUGCUUGCACUCUUUGGACGUCGACCGGCGCACGGGUGAGUAACGCGUAUCCAACCUUCCCAUUACUGUGGGAUAACCUGCCGAAAGGCAGACUAAUACCGCAUAGUCUUCGAUGACGGCAUCAGAUUUGAAGUAAAGAUUUAUCGGUAAUGGAUGGGGAUGCGUCUGAUUAGCUUGUUGGCGGGGUAACGGCCCACCAAGGCUACGAUCAGUAGGGGUUCUGAGAGGAAGGUCCCCCACAUUGGAACUGAGACACGGUCCAAACUCCUACGGGAGGCAGCAGUGAGGAAUAUUGGUCAAUGGACGGAAGUCUGAACCAGCCAAGUAGCGUGCAGGAUGACGGCCCUAUGGGUUGUAAACUGCUUUUGUAUGGGGAUAAAGUUAGGGACGUGUCCCUAUUUGCAGGUACCAUACGAAUAAGGACCGGCUAAUUCCGUG
rnacentral:rRNA from 1 species